rnacentral:rRNA from 1 species
AGUGAACGCUGGCGGUAGGCCUAACACAUGCAAGUCGAACGGCAGCACAGUAAGAGCUUGCUCUUACGGGUGGCGAGUGGCGGACGGGUGAGGAAUACAUCGGAAUCUACUUUUUCGUGGGGGAUAACGUAGGGAAACUUACGCUAAUACCGCAUACGACCUACGGGUGAAAGCAGGGGAUCUUCGGACCUUGCGCGAUUGAAUGAGCCGAUGUCGGAUUAGCUAGUUGGCGGGGUAAAGGCCCACCAAGGCGACGAUCCGUAGCUGGUCUGAGAGGAUGUCCAGCACAGUGGGGACGGAGCCGCGGUCGUGACUCGUAGUGCACGAAGCAGAGGAGGAAAGUGGACAUUGGGCUGAAGCGGUAGCCAACACUACCGUGUGGUGGAAGAAGGCGUUGGGUUUGUAAAGCCCUUUUGGUGAGAAAAAAAAGCAGCAGGUAACUACGCCGCUGUCUUGACGAUACACAAAGAAGAAGCCCCGGCAACCUUCUCACCAGCGGCAGCUGAAAUAGGCGGAAGCGCACACGUCUAAC